rnacentral:lncRNA from 1 species
AGUUAGAACAUAGUUUAUUCAUAAGUGGGGGGCAGGGGAGGCAGAGUGUGAAGGGGGGCCCUACAUGACUUAACCCUUGCUUGGCAUGGCCUUAGGUCCUGUUUACAAUUUGGUAUCUUAUGCCACAGAGUCUGUUCUGUCCAUCUCAUGAUCCCUAUUUUGUUCAUUCAUGCUGGGCAGUUGUGUCUAAACCAUAAAGGGAUGGGGCAUGAGCCACCCCGCCCAGCCCUUGACCCCCUUCACAUUUCAUUAGCCAGAGCUGGACUUGUGGCCAGACCUGCCUUGAAGGAGGCAAGGAAAGGUAUGUGAACAUGAGCAACAUCCACACAGGUGGACAAAGUGACCCAUGUGACUUUGGUUCCCUCUCUUUAGGAAGAAUUUUUGGAUGUACUUGGGACAGUUACAGGCAUGCUGCUAUUGCCAUGAUCUUCAGGAAGCUGAAGUGAUGAGCAGCAGUGUGUGAUUCUGAGAACACAGAGGGCUGGGGUCUAGAAGCUAUCUCAGGUGGGCUCACUCAGUGCCAUCCUCCCUCUUGGUGCCUCCCUAGGAAUGCUGAGAAGAUGCAAAACCAAAAGCUUUUACUCCAACAUUGCUUAGCCAAGCUAAACACAUGCAUUCCCUAUGAUUUAACAAUUCUGCUCCUAGUAUGUAUCACAGAGAAAUUGUCCCAUGGGUCCAUAAGGGCAUAUAAGAACGGCCAUUGCAGCACAGUUCUGGUUGGGGUCGGGGGAGCUGAAGGUCAUGUGGUGUCCACCACUGGAGGAAUGGAUGGAUAAAAUGGGAUGGAUGCACAGGUGGGCAGAUGGGUGAAAGGAUGGUCAGUCCUCACGUGGACUAGUUACCUUACUCUUAGGCUAACAACUAGCAUCUCCAGGCAAAAAGAAAACGUUUCUGGAUUCCCUUGCCACUGGAGUUCUGUGGAAGAGAGAAAUGGAGUCCACUAAUGAGAUGCCCUUUGAAGGAUGUGGAUGGAGGAAACAGGGCCAAGCAAGUUUGCCCUGCGGGCCCAGCCUUGGGGAUAUUCAGUCCUUCUGCAGCAGCAUCAAGCUUCUGGCUUUGUGGGUGUCAGGAGGCACGAGUGGCAGUUGCACCCCAAGUCCCAGGGCCCAAGCACAGCUUCUGGGGUGCUUAGAGGGGGUGGAUGGCAGGCAGGACAGUAUGUUCUGAUCUCAGCUCCAGUGGGAGCCUCCUGGAGGCGACUUCUCCAGCCUUCCCAUGUACUUUGUUAAGUACCCUGAUUCCCUUAAAUUCCCUUCUGCCAAAAACAGCUGGAGAAGUUUCUGUUUCCUGAAACUGACCCCUUCCUGAUUGGGAAAUGACUUGCCAAGGUGACAAAGCAAGUUACUGUCACAUCUCAAAUUUGACACAGGCCUCCUGACUACCUAUUAACAGUCCCACUGUCCCAGGCCGGUUUUUUGUUUUUUGGGUUUUUUUUUUUUUUUUUUUUUUUUUUGAGACAGAGCCUCGCUGCCGCCCAGGCUGGAGUGCAGUGGCGUGAUCUUGGCUCACUGCAACUUCCGCCUCCCGGGUUCAAGCAAUUCCCCUGCCUCACCCUCCCAAGUAGCUGGAAUUAUAGGUGCCC